ACGGGGGGGGCUAGCGUUGUUCGGAAUUACUGGGCGUAAAGCGCACGUAGGCGGCUUUGUAAGUUAGAGGUGAAAGCCCAGGGCUUAACCCUGGAAUUGCCUUUAAGACUGCAUCGCUUGAAUCCGGGAGAGGUGAGUGGAAUUCCGAGUGUAGAGGUGAAAUUCGUAGAUAUUCGGAAGAACACCGGUGGCGAAGGCGGGUCUCUGGGCAUUUCCUGACGCUGAGGCGCGAAAGCGUGGGGAGCAAACGGGA
rnacentral:rRNA from 1 species